rnacentral:rRNA from 1 species
AACUUGAGAGUUUGAUCAUGGCUCAGAACGUACGCUGGCGGCACGCCUAACACAUGCAAGUCGAACGAAGUAGCAAUACUUAGUGGCAGACGGGUGAGUAACAUGUAGGUAUCUGCCCUUUGGCCUGGAAUAACACGAGGAAACUUGUGCUAAUACCGGAUAAGUCUUUACGGAGAAAGCUUUAUGCACCAUUGGAUGAGCCUGCACUUGAUUAGUUUGUUGGUGGGGUAAUGGCCUACCAAGACUGUGAUCAAUAGCUGAUUUGAGAGGAUGAUCAGCCACAUUGGGACUGAGACACGGCCCAAACUCCUACGGGAGGCAGCAGUGGGGAAUCUUGCACAAUGGAGGAAACUCUGAUGCAGCGAUGCCGCGUGAGUGAAGAAGGCCCUUGGGUUGUAAAGCUCUUUCGUCGGGGAAGAAAAUGACUGUACCCGAAUAAGAAGGUCCGGCUAACUUCGUGCCAGCAGCCGCGGUAAUACGAAGGGACCUAGCGUAGUUCGGAAUUACUGGGCUUAAAGAGUUCGUAGGUGGUUGAAAAAGUUAGUGGUGAAAUCCCAGAGCUUAACUCUGGAACUGCCAUUAAAACUUUUCAGCUAGAGUAUGAUAGAGGAAAGCAGAAUUUCUAGUGUAGAGGUGAAAUUCGUAGAUAUUAGAAAGAAUACCAAUUGCGAAGGCAGCUUUCUGGAUCAUUACUGACACUGAGGAACGAAAGCAUGGGUAGCGAAGAGGAUUAGAUACCCUCGUAGUCCAUGCCGUAAACGAUGUGUGUUAGACGUUGGAAAUUUAUUUUCAGUGUCGCAGGGAAACCGAUAAACACACCGCCUGGGGAGUACGACCGCAAGGUUAAAACUCAAAUGAAUUGACGGGGACCCGCACAAGUAGUGGAGCAUGUGGUUUAAUUCGAAGAUACGCGCAGAACCUUACCAACACUUGACAUGUUCGUCGCGACUCUAAGAGAUUAGAGUUUUCGGUUCGGCCGGACGAAACACAGGUGCUGCAUGGCUGUCGUCAGCUCGUGUCGUGAGAUGUUGGGUUAAGUCCCGCAACGAGCGCAACCCUCACUUUUAGUUGCCAUCAUUAAGUUGGGCACUCUGAAAGAACUGCCAGUGAUAAGCUGGAGGAAGGUGGGGAUGACGUCAAGUCCUCAUGGCCCUUACGUGUUGGGCUACACACGUGCUACAAUGGUAUCUACAACAGGAAGCAAGACUGCGAAGUUGAGCAAAUCCCUAAAAGAUACCUCAGUUCGGAUUGCACUCUGCAACUCGAGUGCAUGAAGCUGGAAUUACUAGUAAUCGUGGAUCAGCGUGCCACGGUGAAUGCGUUCCCGGGUCUUGUACACACCGCCCGUCACACCAUGGGAGUUGGUUCUACCUUAAGGCAAGGUUUCAAACCCUUGACCACGGUAUAGUCAGCGACUGGGGUGAAGUCGUAACAAGGUAGCCGUAGGGGAACCUGCGGCUGGAUUACCUCCUUUCUAA